AGGGAUUGGGGGAGGUCUAUAGAGCAUGUUGUUGCUGUUGUUCCGAGACGCCAGAUUUGCGCAAGAACCUCCGGAGGGCUUCUUGGCUAUUCCCCUGCUGUUAGGGCCAGGCAUGUGACACUCCUGCUCUUCAUCUAAUGCUAGAUAGCUCCUCGAUGGCUUGAUCUUCUUGUAGGGGGUCUCUUUCUUGCGUAGAUCUUCCAGGCAUCUCACCUCAGACAUACACGCGAACGACUGAGACUUGCCGUCGUAGAAUUUGGAUAGCCCUUUCCUGCAGAGGACAACACAAGGUGAGAAUUUUUUCCCUUUUAAGGCGUGUAGAAGAAGCAUAUAGAUGCAAAAGGAAUAAAAAAAAAAUCGAGGAACUUACUUGACAGGGAGUUGUGCCAUCAUGGACGACAGAUCGUAGAGGCUAUCGGAGUUCAAUCUCCGAACCGACUGCUGCGCCGGGGAGGAAGCCGCCUGCUGCAUGAACUGGUGGUCCAGAGCUCCGGCGCCCUCGCCGUCCGAGAACUGGUCCUCGCCGUCCGAGUCGCCGGAGAUGGAAGACGAUG
rnacentral:lncRNA from 1 species